UACUCUCCCUGUGUUCUGUGGUUCAGGUAGAUUCAGUCUUUACACUCAGAUAACUAACACUGUCUUUUUUCAGACUGAGAGAGAAACCUGAUUGCUGCUUUGGCUGACUACCUGAACUCUGACCCCUGCUCCUGCUCUGACUGACCCAGAGAGAACUCAGACGCAGAGAGAACCGGACCAGAACUCCUGCUUGGCUGGUGAUCAGAUUUUUAGUCACUGAGGUUCAGUCCAUCACAUCACUGAGUAUAGGAGUGUUUCACAUUUUAAUCACAGAGUUUUUGUGGUUUAUCACAACUGCUGAGUUCACACAUGAAUAUAAAUGUAGUGAAAACAGACCUGUAAACACUGACUGAAGUUAGAGCCAUGUGAGCUGAGCUGUUCUGCCUGUAUAGUGGAUCAGAACAGCUCCCAGCAGCAGAGUCUGACAGUAGAAAGCUGACAGUUGAAAGCUGACAGUUUUAAUGGAACAUCACUAAAGGCAGAAAUCAGUGUGUAAAGUGAGCAGAACAUGUUGUGCAGUGAUCAGUUCUGUAUUGUUCUGCUUCAUGUUGAACAAGUCAGUGGGUCUUGAGAUUAUUUUAAUCAAGUCCACAUUUCAUAGUACCAGCUGUUUUCACACACAUCUGGAAACUACUGGCCUAAA